UAUUGCUGGAAAUAUAUUGAAGGAAAAUUACAAGAAGAGUCGUCAUUUCAAGGUGUUUCACGGACGUAUUGGUAUGUGGAUGUUGACAAUGUCGGACGACAUCAAAGUUGACACGAGAAGUUGGAGUGAAGAUGAGACGAGCCUGCGACCUGCCUACUCUUGCUGCUAUGCUGCUGCCGCUGCUGUUGCAUCCAUAGAAAUUGGCUGUUACAGAUUUACUGACCAGAUAAAGGAAGUUCCCGCUGAUGCAGACCCAGUUGUUGGGUACCCAGCCACCUAUGCACAUUGACACAGCCAGCAGCGGGCACCUAUUGGGAUGGACCCAGGAGGAUGACC